UACAGAGGGUGCGAGCGUUAAUCGGAUUUACUGGGCGUAAAGCGUGUGUAGGUGGCUUCCUAAGUCGGUUGUGAAAUCCCUGGCUCAACCUGGGAAUUGCAGUCGAUACUGGGAAGCUCGAGUUCGGUAGAGGACGCGGGAAUUCCCGGUGUAGCGGUGAAAUGCGUAGAUAUCGGGAGAACAUCGAUGGCGAAAGCACCGUCUGGGCCUGAACUGACACUGAGACACGAAAGCGUGGGGAGCAAACAGG
rnacentral:rRNA from 1 species